rnacentral:rRNA from 1 species
UGGGGAAUAUUGGACAAUGGGGGGAACCCUGAUCCAGCAAUGCCGCGUGAGUGAUGAAGGCCUUAGGGUUGUAAAGCUCUUUUACCAGGGAUGAUAAUGACAGUACCUGGAGAAUAAGCUCCGGCUAACUCCGUGCCAGCAGCCGCGGUAAUACGGAGGGAGCUAGCGUUGUUCGGAAUUACUGGGCGUAAAGCGCACGUAGGCGGUUACUCAAGUCAGAGGUGAAAGCCCGGGGCUCAACCCCGGAACUGCCUUUGAAACUAGGUAACUAGAAUCCUGGAGAGGUGAGUGGAAUUCCGAGUGUAGAGGUGAAAUUCGUAGAUAUUCGGAAGAACACCAGUGGCGAAGGCGGCUCACUGGACAGGUAUUGACGCUGAGGUGCGAAAGCGUGGGGAGCAAACA